GACGAACGCUGGCGGCGUGCUUAACACAUGCAAGUCGAACGGAAAGGCCCUGCUUUUGUGGGGUGCUCGAGUGGCGAACGGGUGAGUAACACGUGAGUAACCUGCCCUUGACUUUGGGAUAACUUCAGGAAACUGGGGCUAAUACCGGAUAGGAGCUCCUGCUGCAUGGUGGGGGUUGGAAAGUUUCGGCGGUUGGGGAUGGACUCGCGGCUUAUCAGCUUGUUGGUGGGGUAUUGGCUUACCAAGGCUUUGACGGGUAGCCGGCCUGAGAGGGUGACCGGCCCCAUUGGGACUGAGAUACGGCCCAGACUCCUACGGGAGGCAGCGGUGGGGAAUAUUGCACAAUGGGCGGAAGCCUGAUGCAGCGACGCCGCGUGCGGGAUAACGGCCUUCGGGUUGUAAACCGCUUUCGCCUGUGACGAAGCGUGAGUGACGGUAAUGGGUAAAGAAGCACCGGCUAACUACGUG
rnacentral:rRNA from 1 species